GACAGAGGGUGCGAACGUUGUUCGGAAUUACUGGGCGUAAAGCGCAUGUAGGCGGCAGCGCAAGUCGGGCGUGAAAUCCCACGGCUCAACCGUGGAAGUGCACUCGAAACUGCGCAGCUAGAGUCCUGGAGAGGAAGGUGGAAUGCUUGGUGUAGAGGUGAAAUUCGUAGAUAUUGGGAAGAACACCGGUGGCGAAGGCGGCGACCUGGUCCGAUACUGACGCUGAGGCGCGAAAGCGUGGGGAGCAAACAGG
rnacentral:rRNA from 1 species